UCUCUGGUAGUAUAUCGGAUAGUACAUCCGCCUGUCAUGCACAUCAGCGAUACGAUGGUUCGCGGAAGAGCGGGGUUCGACUCCCCGCCAGAGAG